rnacentral:lncRNA from 1 species
AGUUUAAAGAAUCAAGAGCCAUAAAGAUGAAGUGUCCAAACCAGACCUGUAACUGGUGGGAGAGUUACAGGUUAGCAUACCUACAUGGAAUUCAAACAUGCUAAUUUGGGCAGAAAAAUAUGCUCACUUGCCACUUCACCUGGAAAACCAAAGAGAAACUGGCAGUGAAGAGAAGCAUAUGAAGAAAGAGAGAGAAUGCAGAAGAAAGGAAGAAAAGUAUUAAAACCUGAAGACUCAACAGCUGACCUGAGCUCCAAGUUGUGGAACCUAUUCCUGAAAUCAGAGGAAGCUUUCUGGAGAACCAAACUGCAACCAAAUAUUUUCGAAGUCCUGGAACAAGUAGAGAGAGGGUUUUUAUUUUGA